rnacentral:tRNA from 1 species
UCCCUGGUGGCUCAGAUGGUAAAGAAUCUGCCUGCAGUGUAGAAGACCUGGGUUCAAUCCCUGGCUUGGGAA